rnacentral:rRNA from 1 species
AUUGAACGCUGGCGGCAUGCCUUACACAUGCAAGUCGAACGUCAGCACGGGGGGUAACCCCUGGUGGCGAGUGGCGAACGGGUGAGUAAUAUAUCGGAACGUGUCCUGUAGCGGGGGAUAACCUAUCGAAAGAUGGACUACUACCGCAUACGACCUACGGGUGUAAGCGGAUGACCGCCAUGCUUCGCCCUAUAGGAUCGGCCGAUAUCGGAUUAGCUAGUUGGCGGGGUAACGGCCCACCAAGGCGACGAUCCGUAGCUGGUCUGAGAGGACGAUCAGCCACUCUGGAACUGAGACACGGUCCAGACUCCUACGGGAGGCAGCAGUGGGGAAUUUGGGACAAUGGGCGCAAGCCUGAUCCAGCCAUGCCGCGUGAGUGAAGAAGGCCUUCGGGUUGUAAAGCUCUUUCGGCGGGGACGAAACGGUUCGUGCUAAUACCACGGACUACUGACGGUACCCGCAGAAGAAGCACCGGCUAACUACGU